UCCACCACCUUACUCUAAUAAUGAAUAUGUGUACGUUUGACACAUUGUAGUGUUCCUCUAGGCUAGUGAGCUUCUACAGGAACUGGACUUUGUAACCCCAAUGUAGUGUGUUACGGAUUCGAGCUUUGUCCGGUUUGUAUUUAAGUUUACAUCCCCCCCGCCAUUAUGGAAAGUGUCAAUGUGUGCAUGUGCUCUGGGCACAUUUUGAUUACUAUCUCGUCCAUUCGGCGCUCUUAGACCACAAAUACAGAUAAUUGAAUGAGAGUACAAAUGCACCGGAUGUUGACAUCAGAGAAGUGUUAAUACAAGACUGAGCCGUGCGAAAAAAGGUAUGGCUAAGGUGAUUGGCUGAAUUAAUUGCUGAAAUAAUGAUUAUUUCCAACACACCAUUUAUUGUACAGAUUUUGCGCAGCUUGAUCGAAAGAGUGAUUCGGAUAAAAUACUGCCUUCCAUAUUUUUCAGCCAUCCUUGCAGAGGAGGUCCGCAGUCUUUUUUCAAACCUGAAGUGGUUUCGUGCACUGAGGUUGAUGUAAAAGAAGGUUUGCGUCACACACCCUGAGACUACAUCCACAUCUACAUGUCAACAGUGUCAUCAUCUGGUAGGUUGCUAUGUUUCAUUUUUUUCAUCCCCAGUUCAAUGAUUUGGAGUUGUUGGGCUACAUGAAACAGAAUGGGGACCACUUUCCAGUCUUGGGGCGACACAUGGGACUCAUGUCCACCGAAUAUGGAAUAUAAUUAUUUGCAUGAUAAUAUUUUAUGAGUUUGGUGGGGGCUUUUUGUGCAGUUUUAAUGGUUCAAAUGCUUGAAAAUGUCAACAGUGUAGAGAACAAGACAUCAGUUUUUAGAGUUACUUCCCUUUGGCUUACUGGUCAGUGUUGCAGAAUUUUAACAUGAUGCGAUUUGUUUU